AUGAAAAUCAAGCUAUUAUUUCUUACUCCAAUAGCAGCCCCAAUGCUGCCCAUUUUCAAACACUGUUUUAAUACAAUAACAGUCCAAUUCUUGGGCAUUUUGCUAUCCAAAAACAGCAGUAGAAAACAGUCCCAAUGCUGUUUAUUUUCUCCAGCCUUGUUUCAACACAAACUAGUCCAUUUUUUGUGGUAUUUUGUUGUCAAAAGAACUAGUGCAAGUCAUUUCAAAACAGCCUGUAAAUCAGUCUAA